rnacentral:rRNA from 1 species
ACUCAAAUGAAUUGACGGGGGCCCGCACAAGCGGUGGAGCAUGUGGUUUAAUUCGAUGCAACGCGAAGAACCUUACCUGGGCUUGACAUGGGAACGACCGGACGAGAGAUCGUCCUUUCUCUUCGGAGACGUUCCGCACAGGUGCUGCAUGGCUGUCGUCAGCUCGUGUUGUGAGAUGUUCGGUUAAGUCCGGCAACGAGCGCAACCCCUGUCUUUAGUUGCUAACGAGUUAUGUCGAGCACUCUAAAGAGACUGCCCGGGUUAACCGGGAGGAAGGUGGGGAUGACGUCAAGUCCUCAUGGCCCUUACGCCCAGGGCUACACACGUGCUACAAUGGUCGGUACAGUGGGAAGCAAUACCGCAAGGUGGAGCAAAUCCUCAAAGCCGUCCUCAGUUCGGAUUGGAGGCUGCAACUCGCCUCCAUGAAGCUGGAAUCGCUAGUAAUCGUAGAUCAGAAUGCUACGGUGAAUACGUUCCCGGGCCUUGUACACACCGCCCGU